UACGUAGGGUGCGAGCGUUGUCCGGAAUUAUUGGGCGUAAAGAGCUUGUAGGCGGUUUGUCGCGUCUGCUGUGAAAAUCCGGGGCUCAACCCCGGACGUGCAGUGGGUACGGGCAGACUAGAGUGUGGUAGGGGAGACUGGAAUUCCUGGUGUAGCGGUGAAAUGCGCAGAUAUCAGGAGGAACACCGAUGGCGAAGGCAGGUCUCUGGGCCACUACUGACGCUGAGAAGCGAAAGCAUGGGGAGCGAACAGG
rnacentral:rRNA from 1 species